ACAGAUAAAUUGACAGAAUUUUUAAUGGAUGUUUGACAUUACAAUAAAUUCGUAAAUUAAGGUAUGAUAUUGUAAUGUUUAAAACAUGAUGUAUGAAAUUGUUAGACGACACAUAAUUAAAGUAGUUUUGUGCAAUUUAUCACUAUUAAUUAAUUUGUUUUAUAGUGUCACAGUGUGGAAGGCCAACUUUUUUCAAAUCCAUAACAUACUAUUCAUUCAAAAAAAAUUUAAUAGUGUCUU
rnacentral:lncRNA from 1 species